GAGCACUGAAACACAAUUACAACUCAGAACGGUAACAUGAAUGGCAGAGGUAUUAAUGAUAACUUGGAAAAAGAGAUAAUUGUUAUUGAGAGAGAAUAAGAAAAACAAGAGGGAGAAGAAGAAGAAAAUUAAAAGGAGGUAGAAGAAAAAAAUAAUACAGAUGAAUUAGUUGAAAAUUCAAAAUAAAAAAAUAAAAAAGAGGAAGCGGAGUAAGGUGUGAAUGAGGAGUGGA
rnacentral:lncRNA from 1 species